rnacentral:rRNA from 1 species
GCUCCUAGUACGAGAGGACCGGAGUGAACGCACCACUGGUGUUCGGGUUGUCAUGCCAAUGGCAUUGCCCGGUAGCUAAGUGCGGAAGAGAUAACCGCUGAAAGCAUCUAAGCGGGAAACUUGCCUCGAGAUGAGUCUUCCCUGUCGCUUAAAGCGACCUAAAGGAACGUUUAAGACGAAGACGUUGAUAGGCUGGGUGUGUAAGCGUAGCGAUACGUUGAGCUAACCAGUACUAAUGAACCGUGAGGCUUAACCUGACAACACCGAAGGUGUUU